UCAGUCCACACCAGACUAGUGUGCUUUAAAGAGAGAGAGAGAGCGAGAGAAAGCCACAUACACUCCCACAGUUGUGUGUCGUUGGGCCCCGGGCUGUGUCUCCAGGAAUGACAUCGGACUGGUUUGAGAGCGGCAGACGCAGUCCUGAAGGACACACACCAUGAGUUCUCACAUGAACAAGGAAUCGAACCAACAACCUUCUGUUUUCCAACCCAAAGCUUUGACCGCUACUUCACACCUAGACGAGUUCAAGCUGGAUAUUUCCAGACUGCUUUCAGGGAAAUCUGACCUAAUGUCCUGUCUACGAAUGACAAGAUUGAUUCCCACCUACUCUCCCGAUAAUAAAUAGCAGCCCAGAUUUCUCAGCUUGCAUUACAUUUCAGUCGACACGCAGUAUUACAGACAGAAAACUCUUUGAGUAAAUCCACUUGUGCAUUGGUCUUCUAAUCCAUCCAUGGCUCUUCAGAUCGUCGCUUAUAUUCUGUCCGUUACUGGAUUAUGUGGCCUUAUUAUAGGCACAUUUACAAAUGAAUGGAAAAUCCUAGGACAUGACAACGACAAGACUGUUUCUCAGGAAAAAUACGAAGGACUGUGGAUGCAGUGCUCGGUAGACAGGUCGUCUGUUGCGGUCUGCACAAACUACAAUUCUCUCCUUCAUCAAACCUGUGAGUAUCUGUCCAGUGGUUUGUGGAUCCAUCUGUCGUCUGACUUCUGUUCUAACCGCUGCUGUGUGUCGUUGCAGAUGAAAUCCAGUUGGGCCGAGCAAUGAUGAUCGUCAGCAUCGUCUUUUCAAGCCUUGCAGCACUGGUGGCCAUUCCUGGUCUCAAGUCCACGAGAUGUAUAGAAGAGAACGAGAAGCUGAAAGAUAGAGCUGCUUUCUUAGGGGGAAUCCUUUCUGUGUGUGGUGGUAUGUUUGCGUUGGGCAUAACCAGCUGGUUUAUAUAUGAAAUUGUUGAUGCUUUCUUCCAGGAUGAGACACAGACGGAUAGGUAUGUGGUCGGCAGAUCUCUGAUUGGUGCAUUUGUCGCAUCUGUGCUUUGUUUAUUUGGAGGCAUCCUCUUAUGCGCCUGCAGCGUGACGCAUCUACAAUCCAACAAAAUUCUCAGCAAGCGUCCGGUCUCCAUAAAUCCUGGAAAAGAAUAUGUUUAAUGAUCGUGAGACCUUCUGAAUACCACCUGAACUCUCGUUAACUGCUGCAUUUUUGCAUAUA